UGGUGGGUUGCCUUGUCAGGUUGAUUCCGGUAACGAACGAGACCUCAGCCUGCUAAAUAGUUACUCCUACUUUGGUAGUAGGCGAACUUCUUAGAGGGACUAUUGGCGUUUAGCUAAUGGAAGUGUGAGGCAAUAACA
rnacentral:rRNA from 1 species